rnacentral:rRNA from 1 species
UUAGGAAUUGACGGAAGGGCACCACAAGGCGUGGAGCCUGCGGCUUAAUUUGACUCAACACGGGGAAACUCACCAGGUCCAGACAAAAUAAGGAUUGACAGAUUGAGAGCUCUUUCUUGAUCUUUUGGAUGGUGGUGCAUGGCCGUUCUUAGUUGGUGGAGUGAUUUGUCUGCUUAAUUGCGAUAACGAACGAGACCUCGGCCCUUAAAUAGCCCGGUCCGCAUUUGCGGGCCGCUGGCUUCUUAGGGGGACUAUCGGCUCAAGCCGAUGGAAGUGCGCGGCAAUAACAGGUCUGUGAUGCCCUUAGAUGUCC